rnacentral:rRNA from 1 species
AGAGUUUGAUCCUGGCUCAGAACGAACGCUGGCGGCAGGCUUAACACAUGCAAGUCGAACGGGUGCAGCAAUGCAUCAGUGGCAGACGGGUGAGUAACACGUGGGAACCUUCCUCGGGGUACGGAACAACUCAGGGAAACUUGAGCUAAUACCGUAUACGUCCGUGAGGAGAAAGAUUUAUCGCCCUGAGACGGGCCCGCGUCGGAUUAGCUAGUUGGUGGGGUAACGGCCUACCAAGGCGACGAUCCGUAGCUGAUCUUAGAGGAUGAUCAGCCACACUGGGACUGAGACACGGCCCAGACUCCUACGGGAGGCAGCAGUGGGGAAUCUUGGACAAUGGGCGCAAGCCUGAUCCAGCCAUGCCGCGUGAGUGAAGAAGGUCUUCGGAUUGUAAAGCUCUUUUGCCAGGGACGAUAAUGACGGUACCUGGAGAAUAAGCCCCGGCAAACUUCGUGCCAGCAGCCGCGGUAAU